AUAAGAAAACUAGAACUGUUUACCCCAGUUUAAGUCUCAUGUUUAUUUUCCAUAGUAAUAAAACCUUUCCGUUCCUCUUAAGAAAGGGAUCAGCAUAUGCACACAGGCAGGAUAGAUUUUACAGAGCUGCGCGCUAGGGCCUUAUAGACUAUUCAAUGUAGGAGGUAAACAAAUGCCGGCUAAGAGAACCAAACAGAAAUUUAUGUAAACCAGAUGCGCGCGUAUGCAUAGGACUCCCGAUGUGGAAUGGAAAGAGAAAACAACAAUACGUUGCGUCAUAUGUUGCGCAACGUUCCAAUUCAAUGCAACACUUUUCUUAUUAUAAAUAGCUUUAAGAAAUUGUUAAUAAACGAGUAUACGUCUAAGUCUUGUCCACCCCGGUCGUAUCUCGCGUGUAGUGAAUAUCACCUUUCAUUCUUCAGUUUGAUCCUGAACAGCAGUUGUCUUUGUCUCCAGUUGAGAGAAUCAUGACUUGCUGGUUUUAGUGUCGGAUGGAUCUGUUCGGAAGCGCCUUUCUCACUCUCUGCUCAUUGAAAUAGGCUGAGCUUAGUUACAAGCCAUUUUCCACAAGCUGGACUCUGGCCGAGAAACCGUGGAAGACCAGAUUUAUACGGCCUACAAUCGGCUCCGACGCGCCCCCUCUUAGAAUCUCUUGUCACAAGCUGGCAUUAGUGGAGAGGCUGGUAGCAAGAGUCAAGAUUUUGCUCUAGCUGAUUCGAAGUGGCCACUUCUGUCAGUCUCAAACUGUUGGUAGAAAUACAGAACUGAGCUGAUCUGCCAACAGGUAGAGCUUGGCGUGCAAAAGCAGCACGCUAAGAUAUACCUGCCGGAUAGAAGGAUCACGUCUCAAUUCGAACACGGACAUUUGCUCAGUUCGUCGAGCUGAAUCGAUUGGCAUAUGACAUUCGGCCCUCCGGGCCUCGGAAAAUUUUUCUAAAGUUUGAGCGAAUUCUAUACCGAUUUUUAUAUUUAUAAAAAAGGUAAAAACGACCAAUAUUUGCACGUUCCAAUGAAUGAAAUGAGCUCAUUCUCCCCAUUUUUGUCGUGACAGUUUAGAAAUGUUGAAAAAUAAAUUAUCUGGCAAUGCAAUCACAUCAAAGUAUGCUCAUAUAGUUCCUAAUACGAAACAUAGCUGUUUAUUUUUCAUAAUAAAGGAGUAUUAUUUUGAAAAUAGUUGAGAUUCAAGCUUGAAGUUGAUAAUCGCUUGCUUUUGAACAUUUCCAUGCGAUCAUUGGUGGAAUCCAAAACAAUGUAGGGGCAGAUGUUCGGUUGCCGCAAACCACCGUCACUUUUGACAGAAAGCAGAUAGCAUCAUUCCGACAAAUGUCAUGUGUGUGUAAUAGCAGCACGUUUUUUUUUGUGCCGAAUGCCAAAGCAAACAGACGCUUGUACUUUUUGCUGCGUUCAAAACAAAUUUUUAUUGAGUUAAAAUCAAAUACGAGAUCUGCAAAUGCGUGUGUGACAAAUAAUUUCACUUAAUUUUCUCGGAGAUGGCUAAACCGUUUUCUACAAACUCAGAUUCAUAUGAAAAGUCGUAUGCUCCUAAAUAAGGUUCCUGAAUUACGUUUGGAUCCGACCUCUGAUUGCGGAACCACAAGAUGAUAUGUGAAACGAAAUUAAAAUAAUGCAAUUCAUUUUUCUCGUGGAUGGCUGAACCGAUCUAAGAUUCAAAUGAAAUCUAAGAAUCAACUAUGAUUCAAAUGAGAGGUCCUAAGAUCCUAUAAAACAACUUACUUUUUAGUCAGAUCCGACUUCUGGUUUAGGAGAUAUAGUGUGAUUAGUAUAAAAAUGUCCAUUUCACAUAAAUUAAUCAGGUUUAUAGGGUUGGCAGAUGUGGAUAGUCGAUUAAAAAAUAAAUUUAUUUCAGUUUAAGCGGUAUUCGAUUUUGGAUUCGGAAUGUACUCCCAAAUUUUAAUUCGCACUACAAUUUCUCACUCAUCAGGUGAAUUUAACUGAUUUCGGCUACAUCGAUUUUAGAAUUCCGUUUCCAGUAUCGGAUCGUUUCUCAAAGCUCAAUCAUUUUCUCAAAAUUCCUCGAUCAUUUUCGCCAAAUUGAACUUCAAAAACAAAAAUUCAGGUCCCAUACAAAAUACGAAUUCGGACUUAAGGUAACCAUACAAAAUUAGUGAAUUUUAUCAGAUUCUGAAAUUACAGAUGGUGAGUUUUUAAAGUUCAUACCAAUAUAGAAGAUGUAAAUUGUUUGGCGUAUUGAUUUAACAGAUCGGCUGAAAAGUUCGUAUCGUUUCUAUGAGAGGGCGCCACUAGAAUUGAAUCCAUACCAUUUUCAGUUAGUACCAACCUUCAAAAGAUACGUGUAUAAAUUUGACAGCUGUCUGAUCAUUAGUUUGUGAGAUAUUGCAUUUUGAGUGAAGCUACUUUUGUUAUUGUGAAAAAAAUGAAAAAAAGUAAUUUCGUGUGUUGAUGAAACACUACUUUUUGAUGAAAAAAGUGCCGCCGAUACCAAAAAAUGGCUUGAUGAGUAUUAUCCAGACUCUGCACCGGGCGAAGCAACAAUUCGUAAGUGGUUUGCAAAAUUUCGUACUGGUCAUAUGAGCACCGAAGACGAUGAACGCAGUGGACGUCCAAAAGAGGCUGGUACCGAUGAAAACGCGAAAAAAAUCCACAAGUUGAUUUUCAAUGACCGUAAAGUGAAGUUGUUCGAGAUAGCUGACACCCUAAAGAUAUCAAAGGAACGUGUUGGACAUAUUAUUCACGAAUAUUUGGAUAUGAGAAAGUUUUGUGCAAAAUGGGUGCCGCGUGAGCUCACAAUCGAUCAAAAACAACAACGAAUUGAUGAUUCUGAGCAGUGGUUGAAGCUGUUAUAUCGAAAUAAAACCGAUUUUUUUCGUCGAUAUAUAACAAUGGACGAAACAUGGCUCCAUCCCUUCACUCCGGAGUCCAAUCGACAGUCAGCUGAGUGGACUGCAUGCGAUGAACCGAACCCAAAGCGUGGAAAGACUCAACAAUCGGCCGGUAAGGUUAUGGCGUCUGUAUUUUGGGAUUCGCAUGAUAUAAUUUUCAUCGACUACCUUGAAAAGGGAAAAACCAUCAACAGUGACUAUUAUAUAGCGUUAUUAGAGCGUUCGAAGGACGAAACUUCAAAGAAACGGUCUCAUUUGAAGAAGAAAAAAGUUUUGUUUCAUCAAGACAAUGCACCGUGUCACAAGUCGAUGAAAACCAUGCUGAAAUUGAACGAAUUUGGCUUCGAAUUGCUCUCUCAUCCACCGUAUCGCUGAGGCCUAUUUUGAGGCAAAGGACAAAUCGUACUACAAAAAUGGUAUCGAAAAGUUGGAAGAUCGCUAUAAUCGCUGUAUCGCCUCUGAUGACAAUUAUGUUGAAUAAUAAAAACGAAUUUUGGCAAAAAAAUGUGUGUUUCUAUUAAACGAUACGAACUUUUCAGUCGAACUGUUAGGGCCAUUCGAAUCAUUUUGGGUUAUGCUAGUUCCUGAAUACCGGCUCUCCAAGUACCAUAAAUGAUGACGAAAAACUCUAAAGUGGAACUUACUUCGACAUCUCAUGGAAUGUUCAAUCGAUUGUCAUACGUUAAGAUUGAAAUUCGAUACGAUUUGCAGUUUCGACAUUACAGGGUGAUGAGUGAUUAAAAUCGCAAUUCGCGACCUAGAAGGAACAGUGCUGCUAUCUAUGGAAGUUUAAUCUGUGUGUGCAGUGAAUGUAAACAAAGCAGGGUACUUUUUCACUCAAGUAAAAUUAGUUCAUUCUCUGUUUGCUCAAUUGAUUUUCUUGUGCGUUGAAGUACUAAAAAGAUUAAACGCCUCCUAUUCAGUCAUUAAAACAUAUUUUUUUGCGGUACAUCAUUGCUGGUAUUUCGUGAGUAAAAAGCGAGAAAAAACUCCUCUUCCGGCACUAGUAAUCCACAUAGGCCAUGGAUCUGAAAAGUUGCUCGAAUGGACUUGCAAAAACAUUUCAUGACAGUGUUUGUUAUACUGAUGAGAACAGUGUGUUAUGUUCCAGAUUGAGUAUACCGAUUUAAUCCUUCCCAAACAAGUAAAAUGAACAAUACAUAACAUGGAUUCAACGAUUCAGAGUUAAGUCAACGAAAACUGCUUGGGUGCAUGUGUGUCGUCAAUUUGUAAACUGGUAUAUUUAUGUAUAUUAAAUUUAUUCAUCUGACAAUAAAACAUAAUUAAUAAAUAAAUGUCAAA